GGCAGCGGGAGGAUGGUUGGCAAGGGAGGGCUGAGUCAAGGUGACUCUUCAGAGGACAGCCGAGCCAGGCUCGUGGGCUGAGGAGAAGACUCCAGCUUCUUCCUCCCUUCGGGUGAGGCGUCGCUCAGUCGCGAUCAGCAGGAAGCGAUGUGGUCAGACUUGUACUGGCAUCAUGAGUGCAAAAGCCUCCAGUUUGGGAGCGUUCAGGUGUACGUGACCACGAGGGGAGGACGAAUUCACCUCAGCCGCGGCUGAAGUUUAAACUGAUGUGUUUCCAAUCUACUACAGGUUGACCUUCACGUCGUUCCGUAACGUAUUUCACUUAACAGACGCCAGUAUUGCGUCACCACGCGUCAGGUGCCGUUCUACGUGCUUCUUGCUUCGGAAACAUCCGCUCGCUCCGUCCUCACGGUGACCUUGUGACUUGAGCGCCGUGAUCAUUAUCCUGUUUGAAAGAAGAGGCGACCGGGGCGGGGUGUUCAACGCCUGGAUGGCAGAAGGCAGCACCGGACGGCUCCAGAAGUUUCCAUUGCCCGGAUUAUCUUCUUUGUGGAUCCGGGUCUGCCUCUUCCCUGGUUGACUCCCUCCUUUUAGCAGAACACUCCCUGUUGUGGCAUCCUGAGACGGGAAAGAUGGAAAGCAAAUGUGGAAGAAAUCUGUGUUUUAAAAACGCCCUUAGAGCCUCUGAUAGAUUGUGAUUUGGCUGGACAUAAACUCUACAUUGCAAAUCA